CCUAAUGCAUUUUAAAGUUGAAUCUGACAUCUAAAAAAAGCAUGUGAAAUGUUUUUCAUCAAGUGUCUUCCUUAUGAAGGACAAUAUUGAUAAACAUGUGCUACGCACACAUUUUUGAACCAGCAAAUCACCCUCAAAGGCAGAGGUCUCCAAACUUGGCAACUUUAAGACUUGUGGACUUCAACUCCCAGAAUUCUCCAGCCAGCUAUGUUGCCAGAUUUGGAGACCUCUGC